GGACUACUGGGGUAUCUAAUCCUGUUUGCUCCCCCCGCUUUCGUGCCUGAGCGUCAGGUAGGCGGCCAGGACGCUGCCUGCGCCGUCGGUGUUCCUCCGGAUCUCUACGCAUUUCACCGCUCCACCCGGAAUUCCACGUCCCUCUCCGCCCCUCAAGCCGUGCCGUCUGCCGGGCCCCCUCCCAGCUGAGCCGGGAGAUUUCACCCCACACCGCGCACGGCCGCCUGCGCACCCUUUACGCCCAGUAACUCCGGACAACGCUCGCCUCCUACGUAUUACCGCGGCUGCUGGCAC
rnacentral:rRNA from 1 species